rnacentral:rRNA from 1 species
GUCCAUACUGUAAAUUCUGAGUGCUGUAAUUUAAUGUAAGUUUAUUGUAAAUUUAUUUAGAUUUUAAGCUAACGCCAUAAGCACUCCGCCUGAGGAGUACGAUCGCAAGGUUGGAACUCAAAGGAAUUGACGGGGGCUAAUACUAGUGGUGGAGCAUGUGGUUUAAUGCGAUACUCCGCGCAAAAACCUUACCAAUCCUUGACAUAAAUUGUUGUUUUACUAUAAUUAUACUAAAACAUAUUUUACAGGUGUUGCACGGCUGUCGU